rnacentral:lncRNA from 1 species
UUCCUUUAUAAUUAUUUAUAUUAAAUAGAAAUAUAAUUAUUAACAUGUCAUAAUUACUAUUUAAUAGAAAAAAUAGAUAUAUAAACAAUAUGCUACAAGCCCACACAUAACAAGCUGGCACAAAAGCAACCCAUCACAGUUCAAGCUAGCAACAGACUGGCAUCAGCAAACAGAGCGUAAGGUAAAGACAUGAAGUAAAAGGCUUAAAUCAAAUAGGAUUGAAAACAAAACAAAUUUAAACUUUGCAAACACAAUAGAAAUUAUGUGAGCCAAAUCACUACACAAAUUAUCUCAGCACCAUUUAUAUACACCAACACAAAUAAGAUUUCAUCUAAAUAUAAAGUUUGAAGAGUGGGUGAAUGAAAAAAUACAUGCCUAUUCAGGUAUUGAAGACAGAGAUAGUGAGAUGGUGAGAUGGUGGUGGUGCACAUGUUAAAUAGCAGAUUGAUAUCACUCAUAAAUAAAAUACACUAUGUUUAUUACUAAUGAAUUACCUUCAUCAUUAUUUAUAUUAAAUAGAAAUAUAAUUAUUAACAUGUCAUAAUUACUAUUUAAUAGAAAAAGUAGAUAUAUAAACAAUAUGCUACAAGCCAACACAUAAUAACCUGGCACAAAAGCAACCCAUCACAUUUCAAGCUGGCAACAGAUUGGCAUCACCAAACAGAGCGUAAGGUAAAGACAUAAAGUAAAAGGCUUAAAUCAAAUAGGAUAGAAAACAAAACAAAUUUAAACUUUGCAAACACAAUAGAAAUUAUGUGAGCCAAAUCACUUCACAAACUAUCUCAGCACCAUUCAUAUACACAAACACAAACAAGAUUUCAUCUAAAUAUAAAGUUUGAAGAGUGGGUGAAUGAGAAAAUACAUGCCUAUUCAGGUAUUGAAGACAGAGAUGGUGAGAUGGUGGUGGUGCACACUAUUGUGUGAAGUGGGAUGACGGUGAUACACUCUAUUUCUCUCUAUUUUUCUAUUUUCCUUGGUACUCAAAGCUGCCCCAAAAUCUCUUCCCCUUCCCUGAUUUCUUUCUCAAUUUAUAGAAUAAAAUGAUGAACUAUUGUAUUCGUUAAAUAAAAACAACAUCCGUAUUUUGUAUUGUUUUCGGAUAAAUAUUAAACAACAUCAGAUGUUUGAGUGCGAAAGUGAUACAAUUAAUAGAAAGCCAAAAAAUAAAUCAGAUGAGGGAAGAAACUGGUUUGUAGCAUGUUGCUAAGAGAGAUGAUAACAAAAUAAAUAAAACAAACGUGUUUAUGGUAAAGAAGAAACAAAAGUAGGACAAAGUAUGGCAAACUUGCUUGCAAAGAAAAACAAAAAUAGGACAUCAAAAAAAGUGUUUAAAAAAAUAAAUAAAUAAAAGAGAAAAAAAAAAUCUUAUGUUGGUGAAAUAAAAAAAUGUGUAAAAAUAAAAAUGGGUGUUGGCAGAAAAUAAUAAAAAUGAAUAAAUAAAAAUUAUAAACACAAAAAAUAAAAUGAAAAUUCAUAACCUUUUUACUC